UGGGGAAUUUUGGACAAUGGGCGAAAGCCUGAUCCAGCAAUGCCGCGUGUGUGAAGAAGGCCUUCGGGUUGUAAAGCACUUUUGUCCGGAAAGAAAUCCUUGGCUCUAAUACAGUCGGGGGAUGACGGUACCGGAAGAAUAAGCACCGGCUAACUACGUGCCAGCAGCCGCGGUAAUACGUAGGGUGCAAGCGUUAAUCGGAAUUACUGGGCGUAAAGCGUGCGCAGGCGGUUUGCUAAGACCGAUGUGAAAUCCCCGGGCUCAACCUGGGAACUGCAUUGGUGACUGGCAGGCUAGAGUAUGGCAGAGGGGGGUAGAAUUCCACGUGUAGCAGUGAAAUGCGUAGAGAUGUGGAGGAAUACCGAUGGCGAAGGCAGCCCCCUGGGCCAAUACUGACGCUCAUGCACGAAAGCGUGGGGAGCAAACAGGAUUAGAUACCCUGGUAGUCCACGCCCUAAACGAUGUCAACUAGUUGUUGGGGAUUCAUUUCCUUAGUAACGUAGCUAACGCGUGAAGUUGACCGCCUGGGGGAGUACGGUCGCAAGAUUAAAACUCAAAUGAAUUGACGGGGUCAUAGCUGUUUCC
rnacentral:rRNA from 1 species